GAUGAACGCUGGCGGCGUGCCUAAUACAUGCAAGUCGAGCGAACAGACGAGGAGCUUGCUCCUCUGACGUUAGCGGCGGACGGGUGAGUAACACGUGGAUAACCUACCUAUAAGACUGGGAUAACUUCGGGAAACCGGAGCUAAUACCGGAUAAUAUAUUGAACCGCAUGGUUCAAUAGUGAAAGUCGGCGUUGCUGUCACUUAUAGAUGGAUACGCGCCGCAUUAGCUAGUUGGUAAGGUAACGGCUUACCAAGGCGACGAUGCGUAGCCGACCUGAGAGGGUGAUCGCCGACACUAGAACGGAGACACGGUCCAGACUCCUACGGGAGGCAGCAGUAGGGAAUCUUCCGCAAUGGGCGAGAGCCUGACGGAGCAACGCCGCGUGAGUGAUGAAGGUCUUCGGAUCGUAAAACUCUGUUAUUAGGGAAGAACCAAUGUGUAAGUAACUAUGCACGUCUUGACGGUACCUAGUCAGAAGGCCACGGCUAACUACGUG
rnacentral:rRNA from 1 species